AUGAACGCUGGCGGCGUGCCUAAUACAUGCAAGUCGAGCGAACGGACGAGAAGCUUGCUUCUCUGAUGUUAGCGGCGGACGGGUGAGUAACACGUGGAUAACCUACCUAUAAGACUGGGAUAACUUCGGGAAACCGGAGCUAAUACCGGAUAAUAUUUUGAACCGCAUGGUUCAAAAGUGAAAGACGGUCUUGCUGUCACUUAUAGAUGGAUCCGCGCUGCAUUAGCUAGUUGGUAAGGUAACGGCUUACCAAGGCAACGAUGCAUAGCCGACCUGAGAGGGUGAUCGGCCACACUGGAACUGAGACACGGUCCAGACUCCUACGGGAGGCAGCAGUAGGGAAUCUUCCGCAAUGGGCGAAAGCCUGACGGAGCAACGCCGCGCGAGUGAUGAAGGUCUUCGGAUCGUAAAACUCUGUUAUUAGGGAAGAACGUAUGUGUAAGUAACUGUGCACAUCUUGACGGUACCUAAUCAGAAAGCCACGGCUAACUACGUG
rnacentral:rRNA from 1 species